rnacentral:rRNA from 1 species
UGUCCAGACUCCUACGGGAGGCAGCAGUGGGGAAUAUUGCACAAUGGGGGAAACCCUGAUGCAGCGACGCCGCGUGAGCGAUGAAGUAUUUCGGUAUGUAAAGCUCUAUCAGCAGGGAAGAAAAUGACGGUACCUGACUAAGAAGCCCCGGCUAACUACGUGCCAGCAGCCGCGGUAAUACGUAGGGGGCAAGCGUUAUCCGGAUUUACUGGGUGUAAAGGGAGCGUAGACGGCGAUGCAAGCCAGAUGUGAAAGCCCGGGGCUCAACCCCGGGACUGCAUUUGGAACUGUAUAGCUAGAGUGUCGGAGAGGCAGGCGGAAUUCCUAGUGUAGCGGUGAAAUGCGUAGAUAUUAGGAGGAACACCAGUGGCGAAGGCGGCCUGCUGGACGACAACUGACGGUGAGGCGCGAAAGCGUGGGGAGCAAACAGGAUUAGAUACCCGUGUAUA